CCACACCCGGCUAAGGUUCACUCUUGAUUGGCUACAGCCAUCCCUGUUGUACACAGAGUUCCCCAAACCUCUGGACUGUGAUCCAGAGGGUUCUUUCUGGCUGUCUCUUUUCUUGGUUUUCUCUAAGUAUUCUCCAAGACCUCUACUGGUCACAGAUUUCACCACUCUCUAUUCUAAAUAAAGUUAGUUAGUUAUACAGGCUCAUGCCUGUAACCCUAGCACUUCGGGGACUGAGGCAGGAAGAUCGCUUGAGCAGUAAGCUGUGAGCCGUGAUCAUGCCACUGCACUCCAGCCUGGAUGACAGAGGGAGACCCUGUCUCUAAAUAAAUAAACAAACAAACAAACAAACAAAUAAAGUUAGUCCCUUCAGGCCAAACAGCAGAGCUCUUAGAAAUUACAGCCCAUCUUCCCCCUAGAAAAUCCACUGUGUCACUCUUGUUGACUAGGGACACAGAGCCACUCUUUACAAAAUGACAUCCUGUUCUAUUCUUAGAACAGGACACUGGAAGGCUAUAGUAACCCCUACUCUUCAUGGUUUGCCCAUUCUGCCACAGAACUAGGAUGGUUGUUGAUAGUGUCCCAUUAUUCUGGGUUGUCACCACCUCUCAUGCUCCCUCUUCUCUUUCUCCUGGCCUCCAGGCUAGGAGUAAGCCCAGAAGUAUUUGUAGUAGGGUUUUGGGAUGACAAUCUAUUGUAUGUGUUGUGUCCCUGAUGGGCUAUCUCUGUUGCCUGAAGAGGCAGGGAGGCACGGGCUUCAGAAAGCUAGAGAAGAAACUUCUCAUCCUUUGCCACUUGCCCAGGGAGAACCUAUUUUUCUCUUUAAGGGAGCUAACUGCUGGCAAGUGCACAAAGGAUGAUUGAGACUAACAACAGGCUGGGCACGGUGGCGCAUGCCUGUAACCCCAGCACUUUGGGAGGCCGAGGUGGGUGGAUCACCUGAGGUCAGGAGUUCGAGACCAGCCUGGCCAACAUGGUGAAACCUCAUCAUCUCUACUAAAAAUACAAAAAAUAGCUGGCGUGGUGGUGCACACCUGUAAUCCUAGCUACUCGGGAGGCUGAGGCAGGAGAAUCACUCGAACCUGGGAGCGGAGUGUGCAGUGAGCCAAGAUCAUGCCAUUGCACUCCAGCCUGGGCAAUAAGAGCAAAACUCUGUCUCAAAAAAAAAAAAGAAGAAGAAGAAGAAGAAGAAAAAAAAAAAUCGAGACCUAACAACAAAACAGAAGAGUCAUUCACAACCCUAUUGAGAGGAAAAACGUCUUCACAAAUACAAAAGUGUUUCAAGGAAAAAUUGAAGUCACUCCUGCCCACAUCCACUGCCCAGUGUAACCGCCCUUAAAGAUUGCUGUGUAUUUGUGUACUAAUUUUUCUGUGUUUAUAAAAUCAUUCAUAUAUUUAUUAAUAACAUGUUUAGAAGAAAUCUCUGCAUUAACCUCAGGGCACACAGCUGUCUUUGAUCGCCCCCAACUCCUCAGAAUGUCCUGCCUCCAUUUCACUCUCCCACAGCUGACUUUCUCCCAUGCUUAGGCCCCCCAAGAGCACCUGCUGAAAAACUACUUCCAACCUUAAGCUCAGGCCCUGACUCACAGCCCUUUAUUCUAACAGAGCCCCUAGGUGUUUGGGCAGAGGUAGGUGGGUAUUACGAGGGAAGCGGGAGGAGGACAGUGAGGCCCCUUAAGUUCUUUGUCCUGGCCAGGCGGCUGCCCUCCUGCAUUACAGGUCUCCACAGGAUAGGUCCCAAUUCCCAACUACUUUCAAUUGGUGGGGUGUGGAUUGGCAGGAUGGGUUAAUGCUCUGCCACAACUUUCUCACUUUAUAAUGGGAGCUGUAUGGUAAAUUCACCUGAUAGUAAUAACUUAAGCAUAUCCUGAGAAUGAUCCUGUAUGGCAGACGCACCUGAAUCCUGAAUGUGUGUUUGAAGUUCUGAGCUAAGAAAUCUGGGGGUGGCCAACACAGAGAUUCAUUUCUUAUUUAUGAAGAAGCUGUGAACCCCCAGCCGUCCCGUCCCAUGGAAUGUGGGCUAUACAGGGGUUCAAGGCCCUGUAUUUUGGGUUAAAUGAAGACUGCCAGGUGGAGGUUGUUAGGGGGAGGCUGUGAAGUGAAAAUACUAUAUAAGGCCGGGCGCGGUGGCUCACACCUGUAAUCCCAGCACUUUGGGAGGCCGAGGUGGGCGGAUCAUGGGGUCAAGAGAUCGAGACCAUCCUGGCCAACAUGGUGAAACCCCGUCUCUACUAAAAAUACAAAAAAGUUAGCUGGGCAUGUUAGCACGUGCGUGUAGUCCCAGCUACUCGGGAGGCUGAGGCAGGAGAAUCGCUUGAACCCAGGAGGUGGAGGUUGCAGUGAGCCGAGACCGCGCCACUGCACUCCAGCCUGGCGACUGAUCGAGACUCCAUCUCAAAAUAAAACCCUCUAUAAAUUGUGUGACUUUAUUUUGCAAGUGGUUGUGGUUCUGUUGUCCAGCCCACUGUCGUUGGGUCUUGUUCCCCAAUUGUAAGCCCUCAAUAAAACCUCAUGUCUC
rnacentral:lncRNA from 1 species